CGUUUUAAUGUCUUUAUUUAAACAACCCUUUUUUUAUUUUUUUUAUUUUCCCACCCUUCACACUAAAAAAACUGCAGCAACCCUUUCAAAGCCUCCCCCAUGCCUUCCGACGGUUGGGCUUCACACCGCCGUUCAUCCGUCCACCGCACCGCCACUAAACCGACGGUCGACGAAGCGUGAUGAAGGUCUUUUAAAGCCCGGUUCUAGGCGGGCUAUGGGGUCAGGCUUGGACGGAGGGAACGAAGAGCCUUGCACCCCAUUUAGACCCGAUUUCGACGACGGCGAGAGGACCUCCGUCGACGGAGCCACAGAACGAUUCAGGUGCUGACAAGACGUAACAGACACGAAAUCGGCCAUUCGGAGUUGCGACGGUGGCGUUUGGAGGUGCUGGAUCUGGGCAGAGAUAGGAGCGGCGGCCUUAGGGUUUUCUUACUGAAAAUUUUUCAGUUUGUGGGCUGGGGUAGGUUUGGGUUUAAGUUUGGUUUUAGGUUAGUGGGCUUUAGUUUGGGUACUAGGCCCGGGUCAAAAAUUGGUUUGUACAAAUUCCAUUUUAGACAUCCUAAAAUUAAUCAUACAACGUGAUUCGUGACCGUCAAGGAUCUCUCGGAUCCAUGUCUCAUCUGACUGUUUUGAAUCCAUGCAUGGUUGUUUCAAUA